rnacentral:rRNA from 1 species
UACGUAGGGGGCAAGCGUUGUCCGGAUUUAUUGGGCGUAAAGAGCGUGUAGGCGGCCGCACAGGUCCGUUGUGAAAACUGGAGGCUUAACCUCUAGACGUCGACGGAAACCGUGUGGCUAGAGUCCGGAAGAGGAGAGUGGAAUUCCUGGUGUAGCGGUGAAAUGCGCAGAUAUCAGGAAGAACACCAAUGGCGAAGGCAGCUCUCUGGGACGGUACUGACGCUGAGACGCGAAAGCGUGGGGAGCGAACAGG